rnacentral:rRNA from 1 species
CUUGCUACCUGACCUAGCGGCGGACGGGUGAGUAAUGCUUAGGAAUCUGCCUAUUAGUGGGGGACAACAUUCCGAAAGGAAUGCUAAUACCGCAUACGCCCUACGGGGGAAAGCAGGGGAUCUUCGGACCUUGCGCUAAUAGAUGAGCCUAAGUCAGAUUAGCUAGUUGGUGGGGUAAAGGCCUACCAAGGCGACGAUCUGUAGCGGGUCUGAGAGGAUGAUCCGCCACACUGGGACUGAGACGCGGCCCAGACUCCUACGGGAGGCAGCAGUGGGGAAUAUUGGACAAUGGGCGAAAGCCUGAUCCAGCCAUGCCGCGUGUGUGAAGAAGGCCUUUUGGUUGUAAAGCACUUUAAGCGAGGAGGAGGCUACUUGGAUUAAUACUCUAGGAUAGUGGACGUUACUCGCAGAAUAAGCACCGGCUAACUCUGUGCCAGCAGCCGCGGUAAUACAGAGGGUGCGAGCGUUAAUCGGAUUUACUGGGCGUAAAGCGUGCGUAGGCGGCUUCUUAAGUCGGAUGUGAAAUCCCUGAGCUUAACUUAGGAAUUGCAUUCGAUACUGGGAAGCUAGAGUAUGGGAGAGGAUGGUAGAAUUCCAGGUGUAGCGGUGAAAUGCGUAGAGAUCUGGAGGAAUACCGAUGGCGAAGGCAGCCAUCUGGCCUAAUACUGACGCUGAGGUACGAAAGCAUGGGGAGCAAACAGGAUUAGAUACCCUGGUAGUCCAUGCCGUAAACGAUGUCUACUAGCCGUUGGGGCCUUUGAGGCUUUAGUGGCGCAGCUAACGCGAUAAGUAGACCGCCUGGGGAGUACGGUCGCAAGACUAAAACUCAAAUGAAUUGACGGGGGCCCGCACAAGCGGUGGAGCAUGUGGUUUAAUUCGAUGCAACGCGAAGAACCUUACCUGGUCUUGACAUAGUAAGAACUUUCCAGAGAUGGAUUGGUGCCUUCGGGAACUUACAUACAGGUGCUGCAUGGCUGUCGUCAGCUCGUGUCGUGAGAUGUUGGGUUAAGUCCCGCAACGAGCGCAACCCUUUUCCUUAUUUGCCAGCGAGUAAUGUCGGGAACUUUAAGGAUACUGCCAGUGACAAACUGGAGGAAGGCGGGGACGACGUCAAGUCAUCAUGGCCCUUACGACCAGGGCUACACACGUGCUACAAUGGUCGGUACAAAGGGUUGCUACCUAGCGAUAGGAUGCUAAUCUCAAAAAGCCGAUCGUAGUCCGGAUUGGAGUCUGCAACUCGACUCCAUGAA